rnacentral:rRNA from 1 species
UAGGGAAUCUUCCGCAAUGGGCGAAAGCCUGACGGAGCAACGCCGCGUGAGUGAAGAAGGAUUUCGGUUCGUAAAGCUCUGUUGUUAGGGAAGAAUGAUUGUGUAGUAACUAUACACAGUAGAGACGGUACCUAACCAGAAAGCCACGGCUAACUACGUGCCAGCAGCCGCGGUAAUACGUAGGUGGCAAGCGUUGUCCGGAAUUAUUGGGCGUAAAGCGCGCGCAGGUGGUUUAAUAAGUCUGAUGUGAAAGCCCACGGCUCAACCGUGGAGGGUCAUUGGAAACUGUUAAACUUGAGUGCAGGAGAGAAAAGUGGAAUUCCUAGUGUAGCGGUGAAAUGCGUAGAGAUUAGGAGGAACACCAGUGGCGAAGGCGGCUUUUUGGCCUGUAACUGGCACUGAGGCGCGAAAGCGUGGGGAGCGAACAGGAUUAGAUACCCUGGUAGUCCACGCCGUAAACGAUGAGUGCUAAGUGUUGGUCUCAUAAGAGAUCAGUGCUGCAGCUAACGCAUUAAGCACUCCGCCUGGGGAGUACGACCGCAAGGUUG